GUCAGACCUAAUUAAUGAGAAGGAAGUAAUGAUCUCCCACAAUACAAGUUCCCAGAAUCAGAUGUUGGCAAAGACUUCAUUAAAUUCAGAUGUUGGCCAAGACUUCUAAAUUCAGUGUAGAGAGUGUUUGCAAUACAUGACUUACUUUACCCCACUCCUUCACUACACAUAAUUUAAAUCUAUCCAGUACUAUUAAUUGUCCAUUUAUUUACUAGGCUAACAAUCCAACCUGGGUAGCCCAGACAAAGCAACAUAUUCAACACACAUCAUUCAAAAUCUUAACCCCUGUCAGCCCCUGGUAAAAAGGAACCAUAUCAUGGACAACCCUAUUACACAUCUGGAGCUUAGGAUAAGAAUAUUACAAAUAAUUUGCCUUACUCUUAACAUUGGGGUGAGCAAGAUGAAUCAGGUGAGCUGGCAGUACUUCAGGAAUGCCUCCCACAUUGGUGCUGACCACCUGGAGCCUUUAUAGAAAGAACUGACUUCAUCACUUGCAUCAACUUAUCCACUCAGUAAUACAUUUAACUUACACACUUAACUAUAAGUUUUUUUUUUAUAACUGCUAAGAUUUAGUAUAUGUAGUCUUAGUUAUGUUGACAUCAUUGCCAGAAGUUGAAUAAUUUUCUAUAUUCAUGCCCACAUAUUAAACCUUGUAAUUCAACCCAAAGAUCUUCUGAUACAAUGGCAAUAUCCUUAUGAAAUUUGACAAUUGAUUGAUCUUUUACAGAGUAUACAGUAGUUAUGAGUAAGGGAAAACAUCACAGAGAGGAGUGACUUCAUCAACUGCAGCAGUCUAUCCACUCACUACCACAGUAAUACAAGGUUUUAUAUACAAAUUCUAGGACUCAGCAGUUUUAGUUAUGCUGGUAAAGUCACAGAUAAAACACACUGUGGACCUGGCCAUGAGGCACAGCACCCAGCAGCGACAGCCGCUCAUCCCCCACCUCAUCCCGCACUUCCUCCAGCAGACUGCGCUUCGGCCCGUCACCUCCGAUUAUGAAGUUCACCUGUCCAGAUAUAAGAAUUGUCAAAAUACACGUUUUUGACAGAUGUAUGAAAUGGAUUAUUGCACAUUCUUUUGGUUUGACUCAAUUUCUUAUUAUGAAACUCACCUUUCUUGCUAUAAGAAUUGACAAAAUAAAUGAGUUUUUGACAAAUACAUGUAUUAACAGAUAAUUUCAUAAACAUUUUUGAUAACUGCAUGUUCUUCAACACUGGCUCAAUUUGAACACUAUUUGAAUUCUAGUUUUCCUACUAUCAAGUUCGUAUCAAACUUUAAAGAUGCAGAAGCUUCAGAUGACUGACAAUUUCUUGUUACAAUUCAAAUCCCACCAGUUCUUACUCUACUUAGCAGUCACAACAAUAAAGACACAACUUACAUAAGGAUAAUGUUGGCAGAUGUAUCUAAUAAUGUCAGGCUGGAGGUCAACACCUUUGCGAUACUGAAGGCGGCUCAUCACAAUGAUAUUGACUGUAAGGAGAGAAGUCUGUGGUAUCCAUCAAAAUUAAACAUGUAUAUGUUUUUAAUUAAAAAAUAUUAAC